AGGCCAGACUCCUACGGGAGGCAGCAGUGGGGGAUAUUGCACAAUGGGGGAAACCCUGAUGCAGCGACGCCGCGUGGGUGAAGAAGCGCCUCGGCGCGUAAAGCCCUGUCAGUAGGGAAGAAAAUGACGGUACCUGAAGAAGAAGCCCCGGCUAACUACGUGCCAGCAGCCGCGGUAAUACGUAGGUGGCAAGCGUUAUCCGGAUUUACUGGGUGUAAAGGGGGCGCAGACGGCGAUGCAAGCCAGGAGUGAAAGCCCGGGGCCCAACCCCGGGACUGCUCUGGAAACUGCGUCGCUGGAGUACGGGAGGGGCAGGCGGAAUUCCUGGUGUAGCGGUGAAAUGCGUAGAUAUCAGGAGGAACACCGGCGGCGAAGGCGGCCUGCUGGACCGUGACUGACGUUGAGGCUCGAGAGCGUGGGGAGCAAACAGGAUUAGAUACCCCCGUAC
rnacentral:rRNA from 1 species